rnacentral:tRNA from 1 species
UGGGGUGUGACUCAGAAGUAGAGUACUUGCCUAGAAUCUAUUAGUAAGGGGAUGAGACAUAGAUCAGUGGUGCAAUGUCUGCCUAGCAUAUGCAAGAUACUGGGUUCAAUCCCCGGCACCACAA